rnacentral:rRNA from 1 species
UACGUAGGGUGCAAGCGUUGUCCGGAAUUAUUGGGCGUAAAGAGCUCGUAGGCGGCUUGUCACGUCGGGUGUGAAAGCCCGGGGCUUAACCCCGGGUCUGCAUUCGAUACGGGCUGGCUAGAGUGUGGUAGGGGAGACUGGAAUUCCUGGUGUAGCGGUGAAAUGCGCAGAUAUCAGGAGGAACACCGAUGGCGAAGGCAGAUCUCUGGGCCGUAACUGACGCUGAGGAGCGAAAGCGUGGGGAGCGAACAGG